GACGAACGCUGGCGGCGUGCUUAACACAUGCAAGUCGAACGGAAAGGCCCUGCUUUUGUGGGGUGCGCGAGUGGCGAACGGGUGAGUAACACGUGAGUAACCUGCCCUUGACUUUGGGAUAACUUCAGGAAACUGGGGCUAAUACCGGAUAGGAGCUCCUGCUGCAUGGUGGGGGUUGGAAAGUUUCGGCGGUUGGGGAUGGACUCGCGGCUUAUCAGCUUGUUGGUGGGAUAGUGGCUUACCAAGGCUUUGACGGGUAGCCGGCCUGAGAGGGUGACCGGCCACAUUGGGACUGAGAUACGGCCCAGACUCCUACGGGAGGCAGCAGUGGGGAAUAUUGCACAAUGGGCGGAAGCCUGAUGCAGCAACGCCGCGUGCGGGAUGACGGCCUUCGGGUUGUAAACCGCUUUCGCCUGUGACGAAGCGUGAGUGACGGUAAUGGGUAAAGAAGCACCGGCUAACUACGUG
rnacentral:rRNA from 1 species